UACAGAGGGGGCAAGCGUUGCUCGGAAUUAUUGGGCGUAAAGCGCACGUAGGUGGUCUGUUAUGUCAGAUGUGAAAGCCCUCGGCUUAACUGAGGAAGUGCACCUGAAACUGUUGGACUUGAGUACGAGAGAGGUGAGUGGAAUUCCCAGUGUAGAGGUGAAAUUCGUAGAUAUUGGGAAGAACACCGGUGGCGAAGGCGGCUCACUGGCUCGUAACUGACGCUCAGGCGCGACAGCGUGGGGAUCAAACAGG
rnacentral:rRNA from 1 species